AUUGAACGCUGGCGGCAUGCCUUGCACAUGCAAGUCGAACGGUAACAGGUUAAGCUGACGAGUGGCGAACGGGUGAGUAAUAUAUCGGAACGUGCCCAGUCGUGGGGGAUAACGUAGCGAAAGCUACGCUAAUACCGCAUACGAUCUACGGAUGAAAGCGGGGGAUCGCAAGACCUCGCGCGAUUGGAGCGGCCGAUAUCAGAUUAGGUUGUUGGUGAGGUAAAAGCUCACCAAGCCUGCGAUCUGUAGCUGGUCUGAGAGGACGACCAGCCACACUGGAACUGAGACACGGUCCAGACUCCUACGGGAGGCAGCAGUGGGGAAUUUUGGACAAUGGACGCAAGUCUGAUCCAGCAAUGCCGCGUGCAGGACGAAGGCCUUCGGGUUGUAAACUGCUUUUGUACGGAACGAAACGGUGAGCUCUAAUACAGUUUGCUAAUGACGGUACCGUAAGAAUAAGCACCGGCUAACUACGUGCCAGCCGCCGCAGUAAUAC
rnacentral:rRNA from 1 species